UACAGAGGUCUCAAGCGUUGUUCGGAUUCAUUGGGCGUAAAGGGUGCGUAGGCGGCUUUAUAAGUCGGGGGUGAAAGCCUGUGGCUCAACCACAGAAUUGCCUUCGAUACUGUAGAGCUUGAGACCGGAAGAGGUAAGUGGAACUGCGAGUGUAGAGGUGAAAUUCGUAGAUAUUCGCAAGAACACCAGUGGCGAAGGCGGCUUACUGGUCCGGUUCUGACGCUGAGGCGCGAAAGCGUGGGGAGCAAACAGG
rnacentral:rRNA from 1 species